CAAACGGCCCUUUUCAGGGCCACCAAAUUUAACGCAACAAAGUGCG
rfam:Trichuris trichiura, WGS project CBXK01000000 data, contig: TTRE_1045